rnacentral:rRNA from 1 species
CCUACGGGAGGCAGCAGUAAGGAAUCUUCCACAAUGGACGAAAGUCUGAUGGAGCAACGCCGCGUGCAGGAUGAAGGCUUUCGGGUCGUAAACUGCUUUUAUAUGGGAAGAUUAUGACGGUACCAUAUGAAUAAGGACCGGCUAACUACGUGCCAGCAGCCGCGGUAAUACGUAGGGUCCAAGCGAUAUCCGGAAUUACUGGGCGUAAAGCGUAUGUAGGUGGAUUAAUAAGUGUGAUGCGAAAUCCGGCGGCUCAACCGUUUGGACUGUGUCGCAUACUGUUAGUCUAGAGGACGGCAGAGGUAAGUGGAAUUACGGGUGUAGCAGUGAAAUGCGUAGAUAUCCGUAGGAACACCAAUGGCGAAGGCAGCUUACUGGGCCACACCUGACACUGAGACACGAAAGCGUGGGGAGCGAACAGGAUUAGAUACCCUGGUAGUCCACGCCGUAAACGAUGCAUACUAUUAGUAUGGGGUAUCGACCCCCUGUGCUGAGAAGCUAACGCGAUAAGUAUGCCGCCGNGGAGUACGAGCGCGAGACUUAAACGUACGAAGAAGUAGUACGGCGUGAGACGUCGCCGACGGACGACGACGAGGGAGUUAGG